CCUCACGUAACCUUUGCCAUAUCCAGCAGCACAUUUCUAAUGAGAAGCAACAGACCACCAAGAAAGAGAGGACCUAAUUCCAGCCACAGAGUUUAUCCAUGCCUCACACCUCUGAGGAUGCCUACCAUAGAUGUGGGCAAAACGUCAGGAGAGAAUGCUUCUGGAACAUGGCAACACAGCCCGAAAGACAACCCAGCCAAAGCCAAAAUGAACAUGUGCCUUGCACUAAGAAAUCCCAGGAUUGUCACAACUUGUGCCAGCUGUUGAGGUUAUGACACCUGUGCCAACAUCGCCAGCUCUGCCCACUGUCAUCUGUUCCAACUGUUCCAUCUGCACUGUUUGUACCAAUUCUCCCAUUUCUGCAUCUGUACCUUCUGCAGAAACAGUUCCAACAAUGCCAGCUGUGUCAUUGGUGCCAAAUAUGCCAGAUGUUCUAUUUGUCCAUCCUGGGCCAAAUCAAUGUAGUUUUGUGCUCAUUAGUUUUAGCUGGUAGAUUCUAUUUCACAUUUUUUAAAGGCAGAAUCAUUACUAAAUCACAAACACAACUGCUUAACAUCUAUUUAGUCAUCCAUCUAUCUGUAAACACAACUUUGUCACUGCACAGGCUGUCAGUGUUGUUUUGAUCACAUUAAACCAUGCGUGAUAAGUGCAA